CGGUAAACGCUGGGUAGCCAAGUGCGGAGAGGAUAACUGCUGAAAGCAUAUAAGUAGUAAGCCCACCCCAAGAUGAGUGCUCUCUCCUCCGACUUCCCUAGAGCCUCCGGUAUCACAGCCGAGACAGCGACGGGUUCUCCACCCAUACGGGACUGGAGCGACAGAAGUAUGGAAAUAGGAUAAGGUAGCGGCGAGACGAGCCGUUUAAAUAGGUGUCAAGUGGAAGUGCAGUGAUGUAUGCAGCUGAGGCAUCCUAACGAACGAACGAUUUGAACCU
rnacentral:ncRNA from 1 species